GUCCUGGAAGCCAGAAGAGGGUGACAGAGUCCCUGGAGCUGGAGUUAACAGGCAGUUGUGAUCCCACCUGAUGGAGUGCUGGGAACUGAACUCAGGUGGUCCAGAGGAAGAGGAAGCACUCGGAGUUAUAAGCAGUUGUGAGCUGCCUGCUGUGGGUCCUGGGAACUGAACUCUGUCCUCUAACAAGCAGUCAGCAUUCCUUCCUGCUGAGCCACCUCUCCAGCCACAAUCCAGCCAUUUCUUAGGGCUUCUUGAGAAUCCCUUUUCAUUCUUUUCUCCACCCUUUUCAGGCAAAGCUUCGAGCAGGGAGCCUCCCACACACCUUUGUCUUUUGCACGGGCUUUUCCCCUAGGGUGAACUUUUGCUGGGAUGAGCACAGAAGGGGCUCCAGACUGCAGUUGGGAGCUUUUUCUGGUCCCCUUCCAGUCAAGCCAGAAACCAGACUUCUGAUUGAUGGCGGGGAGAGGAACUUCCUCAUUCACCGGCUCCUGUGAAAGGACUUGCUCUCUGUAGCUGCAGCUAGAGUCCAGCACUUCUGACCAUGGCCUCAGGAGAAGCACUUUCCCAGCCUCAGGCUGCUCUGUCAAAUUCUAGAGUUGACUGGUAUUCGCUGCACAGAAGUCAGGAACUUGAGAAGGCAGCCGAGAUUCUCCUCUUCAGUUCCCUGCAACUUACUCUCCGCUGGGAACGAGGCAUCUGCUGUUCAAAGGAAAAAAUUCUCCUUGGGCUUUUCUGCUGAAAAAGAUGGUCAAACAGAACUGGGUUAAAAAUAAAUUGAGCUUGGGCAUUGCCAAGUUUCUAA
rnacentral:sRNA from 1 species